GUAGGCGUGGCACCUUUUAUUUUGAUGAGACAAAUAAAUUUCAGUUAAAAUUUUGUUUCUAUCAUAAAAACUGUAGGCGCUACAGAUUUUCGCGGCUUGUGAGCGCUAGAGCGUGGCACCCCGCUGAAACAAACUUGUGCUGCGUAGGAAGCCCAGGAAUCUGCAUGUCAAGUAUGGAUAUUGUAGCUCUUAUACUGAAAAAGCUUCUAAGCCCAACGUAUAUGAAGUCAUCAAGAAUGACGAAGUACGUUAAGUAGUGACCUUGCACGGUCAAUUCUUUCAAAGGCUUGAAAUGCAAGCCGGUAUAAAUAAAAUCAGCCAACUAAAACUGGCACCGUGGAAAAAUAUCUUUGUUCAAAUAUCAAUCGAUAAUUUAACAAAUAUGGGCAAUAGAACAUUAAAAUCGUUAAGAGUAGCGCUACUCAACCCGGUAACCCACAUAAAAAGUUUGAAAGAAAAAGAAGCAAUAUUGUCUACAUUUCAUAAUGAUCCAAUUCAAGGAGGUCUUACUGGCAUAUAAAAAACUUUGGCCAAAGUAAAAAGAAACUAUUACUGGAAAAGUAAAAAGUAAAGUAAAGAUAUAACUAAGUACGUAAGAAAAUGUCAAAAAUGUCAGAAAGCGAAAAUUAUAUCACAUAAAAAGACCCCAUUAACAAUAACUGAUACACCUAUAAAUGUUUUUGACAGAGUAAUAGUGGACACUAUUGGUCCACUACCAAAAUCAUAAUAUGCAAGUACUGUCGCUAAAGCAAUUUUUGAAUCAAGUAAUUUUUGAAGUAUGGUCCAACGAAGACGUUCAUUAUGGACAUGGGAACAGAUUACAAGCAUUCAAUUAUAAAUUACUUGUGCAAAUAUUUGAACAUUAAAACAAACCAUCUACCGCA